UCGAAACGAUAUUCAUGCAAAUGGUGAGUAGACCGGAAACUUAUCUUUCCCAUUACUUCAUGAUUAGAACGUACUUGUGUACUAAUCGCUUGUUGUACAUACUGCAAACACCGAAAGUUAGCCUUGUUAACAAACCAAAUAGGGUAGUAUGUCACAAUUAAUAGGCUGCUAUAGUGUGCUUAUCUAAUCGAUUCGACGAGCAAGAUCAAUAGAUAUAGAAAAGGUAACUACCUACUCUAAAAUUUUUCACGUCAUUAAGUGAUAGCACAGAGUCAACUUGUAUAAUAGUUAUACAUAGUGGUGGAUCUAGCCAACAAGCUUAAAGUGGUUUAAACAAGUUAGAUAGAGUUUCACCCCCUUUCAUUGAUCUUUACCAUAAAUUUUAGGAGAGUCUUCGUUAGGACUCCAAUAGCUUUAACAAGGGAAACGGGGGCUUGAGUCUCCCGCCGCCCUAUGAUAGAUCCACCAUUGGUUAUAUAUUUUAUAUAACUAUAUCAUUAUAUAUGGUCCAUCUCUUAUACACAUAUAUUGUCUUGGAGCCUACGCUACAUUAGAUGUAAAUCUAUAGCCCGUUUUUAUUAUCUUCCAUUUUCUCUCUUCUCCACAUAAUCAUAAAUACAAAGGCAUGUUCAAAGGUAAAGUCUUUUACUAUUGACUUUUAUUUGAUUCAUGUUAGCAACAAUAAUCUAUUCUAUGAUGAUAUAUAUAAAGGUAGAGUUAGAUAUUAUUUCUUCAUUAGUAUACAAAAUAUUUUUUAUUCCACUACUUUCCUUUUUUUAUCUAUCCUCGUACAACAAAAUUUUCUCCGUCUAUCGAGAAAAUACCCUCUCAUUCGGUAAGAACGGGCCAGAGACAGACGACAUGAGCUAUAAACUCAUCAGAGACGAGCUCCACUACAUAACUAUAUUCACUAGUAGAACUAAUAGGUGAAUCGUGUGAAAAACUUUUAGAGUUAACAAUUUUUCCCGCGGGGCCAGGGCCCUGCCCCUGCCCCUACGGGGAUGGGGGUGAAGGCAUUUUAGCCACGCGAGGAUUCGAGGCCUGAGCCAGGGCCGAGGAAGGGUACAGCCGGGAGGCCCCGAGGAAUCAUACCGUGAUGAAACUAUGAAAGCCCACGGUGCAGAACAAACCUCUAGCCCGAUCCUGCCGCCUCUCCCUCAUCUCUCACUCUGUCUGUACGGCUCUGUGCGUGGGCGAGCUGGCGGCGGCGGCGGUGACCCCGGCCGGCUUCAUCCUAUGAGUCCCUGAUCCCUUUCUCUCUCUGUGCACUGGAUUUGCGGGUUGAAUUAUUUUUUGUUGCAUUUGGACGAGUCAGCUCGAUUGGAUCAGGCCGGCUACCUCUGUCCUUUUCUUUGGCUUGUGCACUUUUUUAUUAGGUGGUGUGUGGGAUAAACGGACUUAUUUUUAGUUUCUUGUCCCAUCGAAUGUUUAGACGC
rnacentral:lncRNA from 1 species